GUGCUCGCUUUGGCAGCACGUAUACUAAAAUUGGAAUGAUACAGAGAUUAUCAUGGCCCCUGUGCAAGAAUGACAUGCAAAUUCAUGAAGCAUUCCAUGUUAAA